rnacentral:lncRNA from 1 species
UUCUGGACCUGCCUCUAAAUAAAAUAAGUUCACUUUUCCCAUGAGAUAUUGUUCUCUUUGUGUUCAUAUGUUGUUCAAACUACAAAAUAAAUAGUCAUAUUUAUUAAACCAUACAUACAUAUAAAUAAUGGAAAAUGAAAUAGUUAUACAAAAUUUAAUUUAAUUUGUAAAUUAACUUAUACAUCUAGCAGUUAGAGCUAGUUGCCUCUUCACCUGACCCAACUCAACUGAACUUGGUAUUAGGGUACGUUAAACUUAUUUCUUUUUCCUCCUUUAAUAAAGAUGAAUCUUGCACUUGUGAAAGACUUUCAUUGGAUUGGUCAUCCUCGUUGAUAUACUCACAUAAAGUCUAUACAAAUUCAUUUUGAUCUAAUUCACCUUCUCCACAUAAAAUGGAUAUAUUUCUUCAUACAGAACAUUGCACAAAAUCAAGUUUUUUAGAUUGAUCAAGAAUAGCCCCAAAAGCCAAUACCAUAAUAUAGUCACUCCAAUACUUUUCAAAUUUGGCUUUCUUGCUGCGAGCAUUUUUUGAAUCACCAAAUAUUCAUUUGUCAAUAUAGAGUUCAAAAUACACUCUAUAGUUAUUUCCCCCAAAUACAAGUAUGAUGUGGGGUAAGAAGAACCAGAUAUCAAUUUUGUAAUAUAGUUAAAUGGUCUAAAAAAGUCACAUAUUAUUUCAGCUCUACUCCACUAAUCUUCUAAUGGACACCACAAAUAAUUUGUAUCAUGCAAACUAAAACUAUUAAUGGCACGUCGAUAACUGAUUGCACUCUCAAGCAUUAUAAAAGUAGAGUUCCAUUUAGUGACACAAUCAGAUCUCAACCCAAUUGAUGUAUCAAUCCCAUCCACCAAUGCAAUACGAGCAAAAAAUAGUCUCGUUCUACUUUCACUAACCUUAAUAUAUUUUACAGUUUGUCUAAUUUUUUACAAUGCGUUGCUUGCAACCUUCAAACCAUCUUGAACAAUGAGGUUCAAGAUGUGAGCACAACAUCUUACAUGAAAAAUUCUCCAUUAAGCAACAAAAUUUUUGGCAAUCCUAAAUGCUCUUUCACAUGGUUUUGCAUGUUGUCAUUUGAAGUAGCUUUAUUCAAAGUGAGGGGAAAACCUUUUUUUUUUUAAAUUCCCCAAUCUCUUAAAGAUUUCACCACUUUCAAUGCUUAUUCUUUCCUGGUAUAUGGAGGUUUCAUGUGAGCAAAUGCAAGAAUCUGACUAUUUAAUUUCCAUUUAUUAUCAAUAUAAUGACUAGUCAAAGAAAUGAAACCAUGAUUCGUGCAUUCACUCCAACAAUCAGAAGUCAAAUAUACUCAACCAGGAAUUUCAAGUAAUUGUGAUUAAAACUUUAAUUUCUCAAUAUCAUAAAGUUUCAUCAUAUCACUUUUAGUCGUAUUCCUAGUAAUAAAUCUACAAUCAUCAUUCAAAAAAUUCUAGUAUCUUCUAAUUACCCUCCAUUUAACAAUAUUAAAUGGAAGACCAUAUGAAAUAAUCAACUCAGAUAUCAUCUCACGAUUAACCUUAGGAUCAAAUUUCCUCUUUUUCAACCCCCUUCGCCACCAUCAAGUAGCAUAACACCUAUAUCAUUAUUUUUAGAGGUCUUACUGAAAUUGUUAACAUGAUGGAUUAAAUGUGAAGUUCCAUUAUUAGUUGAACAGCUCAAUAAUUUUUUACUCCCUACACAACUAGCCUUUUCUUUUCCAUUUAUAAUACAAGUUUUUCAAAGUACCUACAUGCAUCUCAAGUAAGGGUCUUACCAUUUUUCGGUUCUGGUUGAGAGAUUAGAGGUUGAGAAACAUUUGUACUCUCUUUCUCUUGUACAUUUACACAAUUAUUUUGUGUAACUCCGACUGAGGUUUCUAGUAUCUCACGAUCACCAAUAUUGGAAUCCAUAAUAUGCAAACCUGCAUAGAUGAAGAAACAAACAAACAAAGAUUUUUAUACAAAAUGAAAAAUAAAAUAUGUAAUGACAACAACAAAUUAAUAAUUGGCUUGGUUAUAGGAUUCUAGGUUAGCAUUAGGAAUUAAUAAAGUGGAACUCGCCACUGUUACAUUUAGGAAUCAAUAAAGUGGAACAAGCCAUUCUUCCAUUUUGUAGUGCUAUACAUAGUAUAUGUAUCAAAAUUAAAUCUUAUAAAACAGCAACACCAUUGAUUGAGGGCAACAAAUUAGGAAAAUAAAUUAAGUAUUAAAAAAGAUAGAAAAUAUAAUAAGCUAUAACAAAAUGAAAAAUAAAAUAAGCAAUAAUAGCAUCAAACCAAGGACUGAGGGAAAGGAAAUCAAGAAAGGAAACAUGAAUCAUGGAAAGAUAAAAAAAGAACUCUGUACACUGAAUUACAACUAUAAACCUCAUUGAAUCAUGUCUAAAAUUCCAUUGAAAUCUUUUGGAUAUUAAACCAUGGAAAUGGAAAAAAUGGAACAACAUCAUCAAAUAAGGGACACUUUAUAUCAUUAUAUGGCUAUAAAUGUAUGCUUUUUUAGGUGCACAUAUUUAUUUAUCCAGAAAAUGGAAUUCCCUGCUCAUAAGAUGAGAUGUUUUCACCUAUGAUAACGUGAGAAAAACAUGUCUGAGCAACACAAACAUGGAUAAGUUGCAAUGAGGAUUUAUUUGAAUAGAAUAAUAGAAGUAGUAAAAAUGAAUUUAAAUGGCUAUAUCCAAGAAAAUACUUCUCACCACUUGUAUCGGAAGAGACGUGAAGGUGAUGUUGCAGCGUCGCACAAUGACCACUGUGAGCGCCUAAGUAGUGAAGCAGAGUGGUUGAGACAUUGAGUGUUGACUCGUGUGGCUGAAAUGUUGAGUGGUAGUGUUGGGUGGUUAAGAGGCUGAGUGACUGAGACGUCGAGACACUCUAUUACUUUUUAGCAUGGACCCGAAUUUAUUGUGACCCGUCAG